rnacentral:lncRNA from 1 species
CGCAGUGUUAUCAUUUAGACACUUAAGCAAUUGCCCCAACUGUAAUUGCAGAGUUGCUGUCAUACGUCUAAUUAGGCAACUGAAACAAAUUUAUCACUAGAAAUCGUGUUAUGUUUCUUUAACAGGCGCAGGGAUGAAUCUGGUGCCAGAUACGGCCGUACGUGAAGUUUUUCGCGACUCCGAUGAUGAAUCGACCAUUCGGCAUGACGUAAGCUACAACUGAAAAUUGCCUUCUUCAUUAUUCUUCGCAUUUGAGCGUUUCGUCGAGGAUUCCCUUUCUACCUUUACCGCGUAUCCAUUCCCCAUCCCAUGGAUCAUUCUCAACAACAAGGCUGUAAGAAAGAAAAUUAACGGACUGUUGCCCCUGGCAGAAAGCUGCCCAGGACAGAUAGUUCGCGACCUACUUGUACCACUGUUCGACAUAACUCAACGCGUUGUGUACGGUUGAAAAAGGUCUCGUUGGACAAAAAGACGGUCGACGAUAGAGCUCUACAGAACCAAAAUUCGUUUUACGAGUGUGUACAUUAUUGCAGGAAGUUCAAUAUUUCACCGGCAGCAAGCUAAAAUUUAAAAUAUCAUGACGGAUUGUUAUUCUCUGCAUCACAAGUGAUACUAUAUUUGACAAUAAUAAAAUGCUAAAAUUGUUCCGUCUUAAAUAUAUUCAUGCGUGUAUAUAUAUUGAUAUACACUAAUUUGAUUUAAUAAAAACUAUCAU